GAGGGUGUAGCGCAGUGGAAGAGCAAGUGCGUAGCGAGCACGAGGUCCUGGGUUCCAUCCCCAGCACCUCCA
rnacentral:tRNA from 1 species